ACCCUUUCAGGAUCUCACUUGGAGAGUUUCCAAUACUCUACCAGCCUCGACUACGAGAGGGAGAGUCAAGCAGACACAUACCCAUUCCACUCCUAGCUUGGACAGUGGCUAGCGAGUGGAAGGCAAUUUGCUACAAGU